rnacentral:rRNA from 1 species
UACGAAGGGGGCUAGCGUUGUUCGGAUUUACUGGGCGUAAAGCGCACGUAGGCGGAUUGUUAAGUCAGGGGUGAAAUCCCGGAGCUCAACUCCGGAACUGCCUUUGAUACUGGCAAUCUUGAGGCUGGAAGAGGUCAGUGGAAUUCCCAGUGUAGAGGUGAAAUUCGUAGAUAUUGGGAAGAACACCAGUGGCGAAGGCGGCUAACUGGUCCAGAUCUGACGCUGAGGUGCGAAAGCGUGGGGAGCAAACAGG